rnacentral:rRNA from 1 species
UACGUAGGGCGCGAGCGUUGUCCGGAUUUACUGGGCGUAAAGAGCGCGCAGGCGGUCGUUCAAGUCGCGUGUGAAAGCCCCCGGCUCAACUGGGGAGGGUCACGCGAUACUGAUCGACUCGAAGGCAGGAGAGGGUAGUGGAAUUCCCGGUGUAGUGGUGAAAUGCGUAGAUAUCGGGAGGAACACCAGUGGCGAAGGCGGGUCUCUGGGCCGAUACUGACGCUGAGGAGCGAAAGCGUGGGGAGCGAACAGG